rnacentral:rRNA from 1 species
UAGAGUUUGAUCCUGGCUCAGGAUGAACGCUAGCUACAGGCUUAACACAUGCAAGUCGAGGGGCAGCGGGAUUGAAGCUUGCUUCAAUUGCCGGCGACCGGCGCACGGGUGAGUAACGCGUAUCCAACCUUCCGUACACCCAGGGAUAGCCUUUCGAAAGAAAGAUUAAUACCUGAUGGUAUGAUGAGAUUGCAUGAUAGCAUCAUUAAAGAUUUAUCGGUGUACGAUGGGGAUGCGUUCCAUUAGGUAGUAGGCGGGGUAACGGCCCACCUAGCCAACGAUGGAUAGGGGUUCUGAGAGGAAGGUCCCCCACAUUGGAACUGAGACACGGUCCAAACUCCUACGGGAGGCAGCAGUGAGGAAUAUUGGUCAAUGGACGAGAGUCUGAACCAGCCAAGUAGCGUGAAGGAUGAAGGUCCUACGGAUUGUAAACUUCUUUUAUAAGGGAAUAAACCCUCCCACGUGUGGGAGCUUGUAUGUACCUUAUGAAUAAGCAUCGGCUAACUCCGUGCCAGCAGCCGCGGUAAUACGGAGGAUGCGAGCGUUAUCCGGAUUUAUUGGGUUUAAAGGGAGCGCAGACGGGUCGUUAAGUCAGCUGUGAAAGUUUGGGGCUCAACCUUAAAAUUGCAGUUGAUACUGGCGUCCUUGAGUGCGGUUGAGGUGUGCGGAAUUCGUGGUGUAGCGGUGAAAUGCUUAGAUAUCACGAAGAACUCCGAUUGCGAAGGCAGCACACUAAUCCGUAACUGACGUUCAUGCUCGAAAGUGUGGGUAUCAAACAGGAUUAGAUACCCUGGUAGUCCACACGGUAAACGAUGGAUACUCGCUGUUGGCGAUAUACUGUCAGCGGCUUAGCGAAAGCGUUAAGUAUCCCACCUGGGGAGUACGCCGGCAACGGUGAA